UACGUAGGUGGCAAGCGUUGUCCGGAUUUAUUGGGUUUAAAGGGUGCGUAGGCGGCCCUGUAAGUCAGUGCUGAAAUAUCCCGGCUUAACCGGGAGGGUGGCAUUGAUACUGCGGGGCUAGAGUACAGAUGAGGUAGGCGGAAUUGGACGGUGUAGCGGUGAAAAUGCUUAGAUAUCGUCAAGAACACCUAUAGCGAAGGCAGCUUACUAGGCUGUAACUGACGCUGAGGCACGAAAGUGUGGGGAGUCAAAACAGG
rnacentral:rRNA from 1 species